rnacentral:rRNA from 1 species
AUUCCAGCUCCAAUAGCGUAUAUUAAAGUUGUUGCAGUUAAAAAGCUCGUAGUUGGAUUUCGGGGCGGCCCGACUGGUCCGCCGCGAGGUGAGCACUGGUCGGCCGCCCUUCCUCUCGGAAGCCCCGACUGCUCUUCGUUGCAGUGGUCGGGGAGUUCGGGACGUUUACUUUGAAAAAAUUAGAGUGUUCAAGGCAGGCCUUCGCCUGAAUACAUUAGCAUGGAAUAAUGGAAGAGGACUUCGGUCCCGUUUUGUUGGUUUCUUGGACCGAAGUAAUGAUUAAGAGGGACAGUUGGGGGCAUUCGUAUUUAAUUGUCAGAGGUGAAAUUCUCGGAUUUAUGAAAGACGAACGACUGCGAAAGCAUUUGCCAAGGAUGUUUUCAUCG